rnacentral:rRNA from 1 species
CCUACGGGAGGCAGCAGUGAGGAAUAUUGGUCAAUGGACGCAAGUCUGAACCAGCCAUGCCGCGUGCAGGAAGACGGCUCUAUGAGUUGUAAACUGCUUUUGUACGAGGAUAAACGCAGAUACGCGUAUCUGUCUGAAAGUAUCGUACGAAUAAGGAUCGGCUAACUCCGUGCCAGCAGCCGCGGUAAUACGGAGGAUUCAAGCGUUAUCCGGAUUUAUUGGGUUUAAAGGGUGCGUAGACGGGCUGAUAAGUUAGAGGUGAAAUCCUGCGGCUCAACUUUGGAAUUGCAGUUGAUACUGGUCGUCUAGAGAGUAGUUGCGGUAGGCGGAAUGUAUGGUGUAGCGGUGAAAUGCUUAGAGAUCAUACAGAACACCGAUUGCGAAGGCAGCUUACCAAGCUACUUCUGACGUUGAGGCACGAAAGCGUGGGGAGCAAACAGGAUUAGAUACCCGGGUAGUC